UUUUAAUUACUUGUAAUCGUUCAGGUAUUGAGUUACUACUACAAAUUAGAUCUAAAUCUAACUUUCAUAAUCAUGUUAUUAAUAACACCAACUGUUAACUAACCACCCAACACAAUCAUACUAAGUAAAUGAAUGUUAACAAUCCCAUACUUAUUAAUAGUUCGAAAAGUCCAACAGUCUAAACUAACAACUAAGUAUUAACAAAACUAUUCGUUAAUUACAACCAUCACAUAAUUACAACUACACAGAAGUUCCAAAUGUAGCAAAAUACAUCAUGAGAUUGGGCUAGGAGACAUAGAUGAGCAACAUUUCUGAUUUCAUUCUCAAGCAUGGAGAUACAAGCAGUGUAUCUGGAUUUGAAACACAAUAAAGGAAUGAAAGGUCAGCAGCAGUAGAUAGUAACUCAACAACAAUAUUCGACAAUCAACAACGACUCUGAACUGAGUUUUUGACCCAGAAAAUGAUACUCCAACCAAAUAGCUAAAUUCAAUGGAGAAAAACCAGUAAUAGACCAGAACAUGCUUUAAACAAAUCAAUUUUAACUCGAAAUCACCCAGAACAGCCCAAACACAUUCAACACAGACUCAUCUUGAAAUGCAGAAGAUCUAUCAAACUUCAGCCAUCAAAUGACAAACCAGAAGAUGUAAAUUAAUAACUAGAAAAUCACAAUUAACCUCAAGUUUCCAAUGGAACAGUGUUUUUUGCUCUUUUUUUUGAAGAUUUUUUGUUGUUUUUUGGUUUUUUGAAUAUGGAAUUCAAAUUUAGAUCUGAAAACUAAAGAGAGCUUUUGGGAGGAAAUUUGGAGGUCCAAACUUCGUGAAUGAAGUAAAGGGCAUGCCCUUUUGUAGGCA
rnacentral:lncRNA from 1 species